rnacentral:lncRNA from 1 species
UCCUCAGAAACCCUUUCUCAUGCGAUGAGCAAGCUUGAAAAACACAACUUUGUGGGGGUGGCCAUAUAAGGAGGGAUGACAGAACAGGGUCUGCUAGUUAGAGUUGGAGCUGCUCGGGUCCCAUUUGGUCCAUCUGGUGCCUGCAGGCCAAACUCUCCUGGCCUACUGGCCUGCUGGCCUACUUUACUUUCUUGCGGGAGGUGGUUUGGCAUUAAGUGAGAGACUGGGGGGUCUUUUAUUCCUCUCUCUUAGACCAGGGAACCCCUUAUUCCUACUGAAGUGGGGAAGGAAGGACAUCUGUCAUCAUAAGUUUGUGGAGAAAAGCUGAGGAGAUCCACAAUCCUAAAAUCAUACUGGGGAUUUCUUUUUAAACUGAGUUACAGAUUUAAGACUUGCGGAUGCCAGAGGAAGUGUUUCGUUUGAAAAUAUUUGUGGAUUGAAUGUUCAGACUGGUAUUAACGGUAGUAAUUACUAAAACUAUUGGCUUUGCCAUUUCUCCAAAGGGAAAGGGCUCUGCCCCAUCAGCAGCAUUUAUAGACACAUUCACAGGAGUCAAUUUUGCCCCAUGGUUUUACAGGACCAUAUCCCCUGUCCUCUGGAGAUGUAGCCUGGUACAAUAUGAGGAGGAGAGCUAAAUUUAUGGUUCCUCCUUCAAGGCUGCCUCUGGCAAAUACUCCUACACUGAAUUCCAAAUCACUUCCAGCAGGACCAUCUACCCUGCCCUCGAGAGAUACGCGUUGGCCCAGUAGCAGAAGGGGAGCAGAACUUUUGAUUUACUAGCCUGCCUCCAAUAAAUGAUCUCCCCAUGGCUGCCAGGCCAUCUCCAGGAGAAGUUCUGGAAAAGAAAAACUUGAAACCAUGUUCCCUGCAGGACAAACUAAAGACUGACAUUUUUGCCUGCUUGGUGGCCACGGGAUUCCUGCUGAUCAUAGUUACAGUUUUCCAAAUUCUGAUUUUUUGUUACAUUAAAUGGGUUGGUUUUUAUCCUACAACUGCCAAGGGAAGCAUUCUGCUCGGGGAAAGACCUAUUCAGCCAUACAGAUUUGGCUUUGUGGACUGUAACAGCUGAUCCCACAAGGUCAGUUUCCACUCUGGAAACUUUCCAAAGAUUCCUGUGGGUUCUGUGCCUAUUUUUGAGAAUAAGCCAAGAGGAGUAACCAAAAUGCCCUCCCAUUCUGGGGAUUUUGCAGCCAGGACCAUGUGUUAGAGGCUGUCAAACCAGAGGUUGCCUGGAAUCACCAGUGUUACAUAGUAGGAGCACUUUGUGAGCCACCCCCACUGGGUGUGGGGCUCUAUACAAUAUUCUUGAAAAUUACAGAAUUGUGAAAUUUUACAUUCCCUGCCUAUGAGAACCUAUGGUGCAGUUACAAGAUUUUUUUUGUCAUUCCCCAUUAGAGCAGUCCAAAUACAUAAUUGAGAAUACAUAUACAUGAGUACUGAGAUUGAUUAUGAAUAAAUUAGUAACCACUAGAUUUGGCUGAUGGAAAUGUGUGGCUCACUGUUCUGGAAGAUUAAUGAGAGAAACCUUGUUAGAGGAGGUGAGAAAAUAGGAGGUAUCGAAUGUGGGGAGGGAGUACCAAUAUGGAGGAACCAUGUGAGUGAGGGAACAGAGCUGGA